UGUGCUUUCGCUUGUUUUUGUUCUGUUUUGUGGACAAAGACUUAGACAAGCGCAGAAAUCAAAUCCUCUUUUGCAGCUCAGAACUCAUAGCUCAGUAUGAGUUUUGAUGCGUAUUAGAAGGAACAAG